GAAGCCCUGCAGGAUUGCCACGCUCCUCCAUCACCACCACGCUGUUGUGCUGCUGCUGGAUGGAGUCUUCCUCAACCUCUCCCUCUCUCCUUGCUGGAUCAAGGCGUGGGAGACGUCACCGGGCUGUACGUGUGUUGAACGCGGAGGUGCCGUGCGUUCGGCACUUGAUCAUCGGUGAUUUAAAUCACGACGAGUACGACUCCAUCAACCCCGUUCACUUGAACGCUUCCGCUUAGCGAUCUACAAGGGUAUGUAGAUGCACUCUCCUUCCCCUCGUUACUGGUCUCUCCAUAGAUAGAUCUUGGUGAUACAUAGGAAAUUUUUUGAAUUUCUGCUACGUUCCCCAACAGUGGCAUCAUGAGCUAGGUCUAUGCGUAGUUACUAUGCACGAGUAGAACACAAAGUAGUUGUGGGCGUCGAUAUUGUUCAAUAUGCUUGCCGUUACUAGUCUUAUCUUGAUUCGGCGGCAUCGUGGGAUGAAGCGGCCCGGACCAACCUUACACGUACGCUUACGUGAGACCGGUUCCACCGACAAACAUGCACUAGUUGCAUAAGGUGGCUGGCGGGUGUCUGUCUCUCCCACUUUAGUCGGAUCGGAUUCGAUGAAAAGGGUCCUUAUGAAGGGUAAAUAGCAAUUGGCAUAUCACGUUGUGGUUCUUGCUUAGGUAAGAAACGUUCUUGCUAGAAACCCAUAGCAGCCACGUAAAACAUGCAAACAACAAUUAGAGGACGUCUAACUUGUUUUUGCAGGGUAUGCUAUGUGAUGUGAUAUGGACAAGAAGAAUGUGAUGAAUGAUAUGUGAUGUAUGAGAUUGAUCAUGUUCUUGUAAUAGGAAUCACGACUUGCAUGUCGAUGAGUAUGACAACCGGCAGGAGCCAUAGGAGUUGUCUUAAUUUAUUUAUGACCUGCAUGUCAACAUAAACAUCAUGUAAUUACUUUACUUUAUUGCUAACCGUUAGCUGUAGUAGUAGAAGUAAUAGAUGACGUGACAACUUCAUGGAGACACGAUGAUGGAGAUCAUGAUGAUGGAGAUCAUGGUGUCAUGCUGGUGACGAUGAUGAUCAUGGAGCCCCGAAGAUGGAGAUCAAAAGGAGCAAAAUGAUAUUGGCCAUAUCAUGUCACUAUUUGAUUGCAUGUGAUGUUUAUCAUGUUUAUGCAUCUUGUUUACUUAGCACGACGGUAGUAAAUAAGAUGAUCCCUUACAAAAAUUUCAAGAAGUGUUCUCCCCUAACUGUGCACCGUUGCUACAGUUCGUCGUUUCGAAGCACCACGUGAUGAUCGGGUGUGAUAGAUCCUUACGUUCACAUACAACGGGUGUUGACGAGCCUAGCAUGUACAAACAUGGCCUCGGAACACAUGCAAUACACUUAGGGUUAACUUGACGAGCCUAGCAUGUACAGACAUGGUCUCAGAACACGGAGACCGAAAGGUCGAGCAUGAGUUGUAUAGAAGAUACGAUCAACAUGAAGAUGUUCACCGAUGAUGACUAGUCCGUCUCACGUGAUGACUGGACACGGCCUAGUUUGACUCGAAUCAUGUGAUCACUUAGAUGCCCAGAGGGAUGUCUAUCUGAGUGGGAGUUCAUAAGAUGAACUUAAUUAUCCUGAACAUAGUUAAAAGGAUUUUGCAAAUUAUGUCGUAGCUCACGCUAUAGUCCUACUGUUUAGAUAUGUUCCUAGAGAAAAUUUAGUUGAAAGUUGAUAGUAGAAAUUAUACGGACUACGUCCGUGAACUGAGGUUUGUCCUCAUUGCUUCAUAGAAGGCUUAUGUCCUUAAUGCACCGCUCAGUGUGCUGAACCUCGAACGUUGUCUGUGGAUGUUACGAACAUCUGACAUACACAUUUUGAUAACUACGUGAUAGUUCAGUUAAACGGUUUAGAGUUGAGGCACUAAAGACGUUUUCGAAACAUUGCGGAACAUAUGAGAUGUUUUGAGGGCUGAAAUUGGGAUUUCAGGCUCGUGCCCACGUCAAGAGGUAUAAGACCUCCGACGAUUUUCUUAACCUGCAAACUAAGGGAGAAAAGCUCAAUCGUUGAGCUUGUGCUCAGAUUGUCUGAGUGCAACAAUCACUUGAAUCGAAUGGGAGUUGAUCUUCCAUAUGAGAUAGUGAUUUUUCUCCAAAGUCAUUGCCACCAAGCUGCUAGAGCUUUGUGAUGAACUAUAACAUAUCAGGGAUAGAUAUGAUGAUCCUUGAGGUAUUCACGAUGUUUGACACCGUGAAAGUAGAAAUCAAGAAGGAGCAUCAAUUGUUAAUGGUUGGUGAAACCACUAGUUUCAAGAAGGGCAAGGGCAAUAAGGGAUACUUCAUGAAACGGCAAAUCAGCUGCUGCACCAGUGAAGAAACCCGAGGUUGAACCCAAACCCGAGACUAAGUGCUUCUGUGAUAAGGGGAACAACCACUGGAGCAGAAUUACCCUAGAUACUUGGUAGAUGAGAAGGCUGGCAAGGUCGAUAGAAGUAUAUUGGAUAUACAUUAUGUUAAUGUGUACUUUGCUAGUACUCCUAGUAGCACCAGCGUAUUAGAUACCGGUUCAGUUGCUAAGUGUUAGUAACUCAAAAUAAAAGCUACGGAAUAAACGGAGACUAGCUAAAGGUGACCUGACGAUAUGUGUUGGAAGUUUUUCCAAGCUUGAUGUGAUCAAGCAUCGCACGCUCCCUCUACCAACGAGAUUGGUGUUAAACCUAAAUAAUUGUUAUUUGUGUGUUUGCGUUGAGCAUAGACAUGAUUGGAUUAUGUCUAUCGCAAUACGGUUAUUCAUUUAAGGAGAAUAAUGGUUACUCUGUUUAUUUGAAUAAUACCUUCAAUGGUCUUGCACCUAAAUGAAUGGUUUAUUGAAUCUCGAUCGUAGUGAUACACAUUUUCAUGCCAAAAGAUAGUAAUGAUAGUACCACCUACUUGUGGCACUGCCACGUAAGUCAUAUCGGUAUAAAACGCAUGAAGAAGCUCCAUGUUGAUGGAUCUUUGGGCUCACUCGUUUUUGAAAAGUUUGAGACAUGCGAACCACGUCUAUUGGUGUAUAUGCAUGAAGAAACUCCAUGCAAAUGGACCGUUUGGACUCACUUGAUUUUGAAUCACUUGAGACAUGCAAAUAAUACCACAUGGGCAAGAUGACUGAAAAGCCUCGGUUUCAGUAAGAUGGAACAAGAUAGCAACUUGUUGGAAGUAACACAUUUUGAUGUGUGCAGUCCAAUGAGUGCUGAGGCAUGCAGUGAAUAUCGUUAUGUUCUUACUUCACAAAUGAUUCGAGUAGAUGUUGAGAAUAUUUACUUGAUGAAACACAAGUCUGAAUUGAAUGGUUCAAGUAAUUUCAGAGUGAAGUAGAAGAUCAUUGUGACAAGAGGAUAAAAUGUCUAUGAUAUGAUCAUAGAUAUGAAUAUCUGAGUUACGAGUUUUGGCACACAAUUAAGACAUUGUGGAAAUUGUUUCGCAAUUAAUACCGCCUGGAACACCAUAGUGUGAUGGUGUGUCCGAACAUCAUAGUUGCACCCUAUUGCAUAUGGUGCGUACCAUGAUGUCUCUUAUCGAAUUACCACUAUUGUUCAUGGGUUAGGCAUUAGAGACAACCACAUUCACUUUAAAUAGGGCACCACGUGAUUCCGAUGAUAUGACACCGUAGGAACUAUGGUUUAGAGAAACCUAAGCUGUCAUUUCUUAAAAGUUUGGGGCUGCGACGCUUAUGUGAAAAAGUUUCAGGCUGAUAAGCUCGAACCCAAAGCGGAUAAAUGCAUCUUCAUAGGACACCCAAAACAGUUGGGUAUACCUCCUGUCUCAGAUUCGAAAGCAAUAAGGGAUUGUUUCUAGAAUCGGGUCCUUUCUCGAGGAAAAGUUUCUCUCGAAAGAAUUGAGUGGGAGGAUGGUGGAGACUUGAUGAGAUUAUUGAACCGUCACUUCAACUAGUGUAUAGCAGGGCACAAAGAGUUGUUCCUGUGGCACCUACACCAAUUGAAGUGGAAGCUUAUGAUAGUGAUCAUGAAACUUCAGAUCAAGUCACUACCAAACCUCGUGGGAUGACAAGGAUGCGUACUACUUCAAAGUGGUAUGUGAUCCUAUCUUGGAAGUCAUGUUGCUAGACAACAAUGAACCUACGAGCUAUGGAGAAGAGAUGGUGGGCCCGGAUUCCGACGAAUGGCUCAAAGCCAUAUAAUCCGAGAAAGGAUCCAUAUAUGAAAACAAAGUGUAGACUUUGGCAGAACGACUCGAUGGUCGUAAGGCUGUUGAGUACAGAUGGAUUUUAAAAGGAAGACGGACAAUGAUGGUAAAUGUCACCAUUAAGAAAGCUCGACUUGUCGUUAAGAUGUUUUCCGACAAGUUCAAGGAGUUGACUAUGGUGAGACUUUCUCACUCGUAGCGAUGCUAAGAGUCUGUUGGAAUUAUAUUAGUGAUUACUGCAUUAUUUAUGAAAUCUUGCAGAUAGGAAGUCAAAACAUUGUUUCCUCGACGAUUUCUUGAGGAAAGGUUGUAUGUGAUACAACCGGAAGGUUUUGUCAAUCCUGAAAGAUGCUAAUAAGUAUGUAAAGCUCCAGCAAUCCUUCUAAGGACUGGAGUAAGCAUCUCGGAGUUGGAAUGUAUGCUUUGAUGAUUAUCAAAGAUUUUGGGUUUAUACAAAGUUUAUGAGAAACUUGUAUUUCCAAAGAAGUGAGUGGGAGCACUAUAGAAUUUCUGAUAAGUAUAUGUUGACAUAUUGUUGAUCGGAAAUGAUGUAGAAUUUCUGGAAAGCAUAUAGGGUUAUUUGGAAAGUGCUUUUCAAUGGAAAGCCUGGAUUAAGCUACUUGAACAUUGAGCAUCAAGAUCUAUAAGGAUAGAUCAAAACGCUUAAUGGUACUUUCAAAUGAGCACAUACCUUGACAUGAUCUUGAAGGUGUUCAAGAUGGAUCAGUCAAAGAAGGAGUUCUUGCCUGAAUUGUAAGGUAUGAAGUUAAGACUUAAAGCUCGACCACGGCAGAAUAGAGAGAAAGGACGAAGGUCGUCCCCUAUGCUUAAGACAUAGGCUCUACAGUAUGCUAUGCUGUGUACCGCACCUGAAAUGUGCCUUGCCAUGAGUCAGUCAAGGGGUACAAGAGUGAUCCAAGAAUGGAUCACAGGACAGCGGUCAAAGUUAUCCUUAGUAACUAGUGGACUAAGGAAUUUUCUCGAUUAUGGAGGUGGUAAAAGAGUUCGUCGUAAAGGGUUACGCCGAUGCAAACUUUGACACUAAUCCAUAUUAUUCUAAGAAGUAAACUGGAUUCGUAUAGUAGAACAGUUAUUUGGAAUAGCUCCAAAUAGAAUGUGGUAGCUACAUCUAGGAGAUGACAUAGAGAUUUGUAAAGCACACACGGAUCUGAAAGGUUCAGACCCGUUGACUAUAACAUAUCUCACAAGCAUAACAUGAUCAAACCCAGAACUCAUCGAGUGUUAAUCACAUGGUAAUGUGAACUAGAUUAUUGACUCUAGUAAACUCUUUGGGUGUUAGUAACAUGGGGAUGUGACCUUGAGUGUUAAUCACAUAUCGAUGUGAACUAGAUUAUUGACUCUAGUGCAAGUGGGAGACUGUUGGAAAUAUGCCCUAGAGGCAAUAAUAAUAGUAUUAUUAUUAUAUUUCCUUGUUCAUGAUAAUUGUCUUUUAUUCAUGCUAUAACUGUAUUAUCCGGAAAUCGUACUACACGUGUGAAUACAUAGACCACAAUCUGUCCCUGGUGAGCCUCUAGUUGACUAGCUCGUUGUGAUCAACAGAUAGUCAUGGUUUCCUGGCUAUGGACAUUGGAUGUUGUUGAUAACGGGAUCACAUCAUUGGGAGAAUGAUGUGAUGGACAAGACCCAAUCCUAAGCCUAGCACAAAGAUCAUGUAGUUCGUAUGCUAAAGCUUUUCUAAUGUCAAGUAUCUUUUCCUUAGACCAUGAGAUUGUGCAACUCUCGGAUACCGUAGGAAUGCUUUGGGUGUACCAAACGUCACAACGUAACUCGGUGGCUAUAAAGGUGCAUUACAGCUAUCUCCCAAAGUGUCUGUUGGGUUGGCACGAAUCGAGACUGGGAUUUGUCACUCCGUGUAAAUGGAGAGGUAUCUCUGGGCCCACUCGGUAGGACAUCAUCAUAAUGUGCACAAUGUGACCAAGGGGUUGAUCAUGGGAUGAUGUGUUACAGAACGAGUAAAGAGACUUGGCUGUAACGAGAUUGAACAAGGUAUCGGGAUACCGACGAUCGAAUCUCGGGCAAGUAUCGUACCGAUAGACAAAGGGAAUUGUAUACGGGAUCGAUUGAGUCCUUGACAUCGUGGUUCAUCCGAUGAGAUCAUCAUGGAACAUGUGGGAGCCAACAUGGGUAUCCAGAUCCCGCUGUUGGUUAUUGACCGGAGAACGUCUCGGUCAUGUCUGCAUGUCUCCCGAACCCGUAGGGUCUACACACUUAAGGUUCGAUGACGCUAGGGUUGUAAAGGAAGUUUGUAUGUGGUUACCGAAUGUUGUUCGGAGUCCUGGAUGAGAUCCCGGACGUCACGAGGAGUUCCGGAAUGGUCCGGAGGUAAAGAUUUAUAUAUAGGAAGUCCUAUUUCGGCCAUCGGGACAAGUUUCGGGGUCAUCGGUAUUGUACCGGGACCACCGGAAGGGUCCCGGGGGUCCACCGGGUCCCAUGGGCUGAAGUGGGAAGGGAUCCAGCCCAAAGUGGGAUGGGGCGCCGCUUCCCUCAUGGCCCAUGCACCUAGGGUGAAGGGGGAACCCUAAGGAAGAGUCCUAGGAGGGGAAGGCACCUCCUAGGUGCCUUGGGGGGGGGGGGAGGGAAUCCUCCCUUGGCCGCCGCCCCUUUCCCAUCUAGGGCUGCCGCACCCCCUAGGGUGGGAACCCUAGAGGGGGCGCACCCUCCUCCCUCUCCCCUAUAUAUAUUGAGGUCUGGGGCUGCCCAUAACACGUGAUUCGAUCUCUGCCUGUUGGUGCAGCCCUCCCUCUCUUUCUCCUCAUAUCUCGCGGUGCUUGGCGAAGCCCUGCAGGAUUGCCACGCUUCUCCAUCACCACCACGCCGUUGUGCUGCUGCUGGAUGGAGUCUUCCUCAACCUCUCCCUCUCUCCUUGCUGGAUCAAGGCGGGGGAGACGUCACCGGGCUGUACGUGUGUUGAACGCGGAGGUGCCGUGCGUUCGGCACUUGAUCAUCGGUGAUUUGAAUCACGACGAGUACGACUCCAUCAACCCCGUUCACUUGAACGCUUCCGCUUAGCGAUCUACAAGGGUAUGUAGAUGCACUCUC
rnacentral:lncRNA from 1 species